CCUACGGGAGGCAGCAGUGGGGAAUAUUGCACAAUGGGGGAAACCCUGAUGCAGCGACGCCGCGUGAGUGAAGAAGUACUUCGGUAUGUAAAGCUCUAUCAGCAGGGAAGAAAAUGACGGUACCUGAUUAAGAAGCCCCGGCUAACGACGGGCCAGCAGCCGCGGUAAUACGUAGGGGGCAAGCGUUAUCCGGAUUUACUGGGUGUAAAGGGAGCGUAGACGGGAGGACAAGUCCGGGGUGAAAUGCAGGGGCUUAACCCCAAAACUGCAUUGGAAACUGUGCAGCUAGAGUACAGGAGAGGUAAGUGGAAUUCGUGGUGUAGCGGUGAAAUGCGUAGAUAUUAGGAAGAACACCAGUGGCGAAGGCAGCUUACUGGACUGUAACUGACAUUGAGGCUCGAAAGCGUGGGGAGCAAACAGGAUUAGAUACCCCAGUAGUC
rnacentral:rRNA from 1 species